rnacentral:rRNA from 1 species
ACAAGCGGUGGAGCAUGUGGUUUAAUUCGACGCAACGCGAAGAACCUUACCAGGGCUUGACAUCCCCUGACCGCGUAUGAAAGUACGUUUUCACCCUCGGGUGACAGGGAGACAGGUGGUGCAUGGUUGUCGUCAGCUCGUGUCGUGAGAUGUUGGGUUAAGUCCCGCAACGAGCGCAACCCCUACGUUUAGUUGCUAACGCGUGAAGGCGAGCACUCUAGACGAACUGCCGUUGACAAAACGGAGGAAGGUGGGAUGACGUCAAAUCAUCAUGCCCCUUAUGUUCUGGGCUACACACGUGCUACAAUGGCCGGUACAGACGGAGGCGAAGCCGCGAGGCGGAGCAAAUCCGAAAAAGCCGGUCUCAGUUCGGAUUGCAGGCUGCAAUUCGCCUGCAUGAAGUCGGAAUCGCUAGUAAUCGCAGGUCAGCAUACUGCGGUGAAUACGUUCCCGGGCCUU